rnacentral:rRNA from 1 species
GAUGAACGCUGGCGGCGUGCUUAACACAUGCCAGUCGAACGAUGAAGCCCAGCUCGCUGGGUGGAUUAGUGGCGAACGGGUGAGUAACACGUGCGUAACCUGCCUUUCACUAUGGGAUAAGCCUGUGAAACUGGGUGUAAUACCGGCCAGGAGAGUUCACCGACUGGAGGGUGUUGGAAAGAUUUAUCGGUUUUGGAUGGACUCGCGGCCUAUCAGCUUGUUGGUGAGGUAAUGGCUGACCAAGGCGACGCCGGGUAGCCGGCCUGAGAGGGUGACCAGCCACACUGGGACUGAGACACGGCCCAGACUCCUACGGGCGGCCGCGGUGGGGAAUAUUGCGCAAUGGGCGCAAGCCUGAUGCAGCGACGCCGCGUUAGGGAUGACGGCCUUCGGGUUGUAAACCUCUUUCAGUGGGGAAGAAGCGAAAGUGACGGUACCUGCAGAAGAAGCACCGGCUAACUACGUG